rnacentral:lncRNA from 1 species
GUGAAAAAAGUGACAACAAUGCAUUCAAAACGAAAAAUAGUUAGAAUGACUUAAAUUACUAAACUUUCAAUCACUAAAUUUACUAUCAAUAAAGCUUUAAAAUUCACUAUAUUAGCCUAGAAGGAAGAGACAAUAACAUUUUCAGUCCCACAAGAAUUGUCAUAGACACUCAUAUACAUGAAAUCAAUAAGAUAAAUGUUUCAUCUUAGGCAUUUUUGUUUUCAAUAAGUAAAUUAUAAAGAAAUUUUAAUGAAAAUAUGUAUAAGAUCUUUAAAAUUGUUUAUAAAAACAAUCUA